rfam:Camelus ferus unplaced genomic scaffold scaffold1468, whole genome shotgun sequence.
GAGGGUAUAGCUUAGUGGUAGAGUGCGUGCUUAGCAUGCAUAAGAUCCAGGGUUCAAUCCUCAGUACCUCCA